rfam:Canis lupus familiaris chromosome 1, whole genome shotgun sequence.
AGGAGGUACAACCGCAGUGGCGGGGCCAGCUCUGGAGCCCUGGAUUCAGCCCCCGCAGUAACUCCGGAGCUCUCCGUCUGCAGGGCCUGGAGGCUCCGGGGCGGG